AGGGCACCACCAGGAGUGGAGCCUGCGGCUUAAUUUGACUCAACACGGGAAAACUCACCCGGCCCGGACACUGGAAGGAUUGACAGAUUGAGAGCUCUUUCUUGAUUCAGUGGGUGGUGGUGCAUGGCCGUUCUUAGUUGGUGGAGUGAUUUGUCCGGUUAAUUCCGAUAACGAACGAGACUCUAGCCUAUUAAAUAGAUCGUUGGCUUACAAACGCCGGCGAGACUUCUUAGAGGGACAGGCGGCGAUUCAGCCGCACGAAACAGAGCAAUAACAGGUCUGUGAUGCCCUUAGAUGUCCGGGGCCGCACGCGCGCUACACUGAAGUGAUCAGCGUGCAUUUUGAAACCUACUCUGUCAAGAGUGGGGAACCCAAUGAACCUUCUUCGUGAUUGGGAUAGGGGAUUGUAAUUAUUCCCCUUGAACGAGGAAUUCCCAGUAAGCGCGAAUCAUAAGUUUGCGCUGAUUACGUCCCUGCCCUUUGUACACACCGCCCGUCGCUACUACCGAUUGAAUGUUU
rnacentral:rRNA from 1 species